AGCGGUGAAAUGCGUAGAGAUCUGGAGGAAUACCGAUGGCGAAGGCAGCUUCCUGGCAUCAUACUGACACUGAGGCUCGAAAGCGUGGGUAGCAAACAGGAUUAGAUACCCUGGUAGUCCACGCCGUAAACGAUGUCUACUAGUCGUUGGGUCCCUUGAGGACUUAGUGACGCAGCUAACGCAAUAAGUAGACCGCCUGGGGAGUACGGCCGCAAGGUUAAAACUCAAAUGAAUUGACGGGGGCCCGCACAAGCGGUGGAGCAUGUGGUUUAAUUCGAUGCAACGCGAAGAACCUUACCUGGUCUUGACAUACACAGAAUCUUGUAGAGAUACGAGAGUGCCUUCGGGAAUUGUGAUACAGGUGCUGCAUGGCUGUCGUCAGCUCGUGUCGUGAGAUGUUGGGUUAAGUCCCGCAACGAGCGCAACCCUUGUCCUUAGUUACCAGCGGGUUAAGCCGGGAACUCUAAGGAUACUGCCAGUGACAAACUGGAGGAAGGCGGGGACGACGUCAAGUCAUCAUGGCCCUUACGACCAGGGCUACACACGUGCUACAAUGGUAGGUACAGAGGGCAGCUACACAGCGAUGUGAUGCGAAUCUCAAAAAGCCUAUCGUAGUCCAGAUUGGAGUCUGCAACUCGACUCCAUGAAGUAGGAAUCGCUAGUAAUCGCGGAUCAGAAUGCCGCGGUGAAUACGUUCCCGGGCCUUGUACACACCGCCCGUCACACCAUGGGAGUUGAUUGCACCAGAAGUGGUUAG
rnacentral:rRNA from 1 species